rnacentral:rRNA from 1 species
UACGUAGGGUGCGAGCGUUGUCCGGAAUCAUUGGGCGUAAAGAGCGUGUAGGCGGCUCGAUAAGUCUGCUGUGAAAGUCCAGGGCUCAACCCUGGAAGGCCGGUGGAAACUGCCGGGCUAGAGUCCGGAAGAGGCGAGUGGAAUUCCUGGUGUAGCGGUGGAAUGCGCAGAUAUCAGGAGGAACACCAAUAGCGAAGGCAGCUCGCUGGGACGGUACUGACGCUGAGGCGCGAAAGCGUGGGGAGCGAACAGG